rnacentral:tRNA from 1 species
GGGCGUUUAGCUCAGCUGGAUAGAGCGUUGGCCUCCGGAGCCAAAGGUCACAGGUUCGAAUCCUGUAACGCCCG